UCUGCAAGCACAAGUCAGACUACUGGAAGAGCCUGUUGUUUCUGACAGGUGUUUCUAGAAGAUGCCAUUGGAGCUGAGCCCUUGAAGAUUUUGUGUAAUGCAAGUAGCAAGGACUAUUUCCUACCAACAUGCUUCGCUUCACCUGUUCAGUUCUUCUGAUUCUCUUGAUGUUCAGGAGAAACCGUGGAGACUCAGUGACCCAGACAGAAGGCCCCGUUACUCUCACAGAGGGAGACCUUCUGAUGCUCAACUGCACUUAUCAGACAACGUAUUUAAGUCCUGUUCUUUUCUGGUAUAUCCAGUAUAUGGACAAAGCUCCUCAGCUCCUCCUGAGGAGUGCAAUAGAAAACCAGCAGACUGAGAGCCAAGGUUUCCAGGCCACUCUUGUCAAGAGCCAGCGCUCCUUCCACCUGCACAAAGGUUCACUUCAGCUGUCAGACUCUGCCGUGUACUACUGUGCUCUGUUGACACAGUGAGGAAGCUACAGGGGGAGCUGAGCACAAAUCCAGAGAGUGCAGGAGGCUGAGGGGAGCAACCCUGGCCAGAAAGUGCUGUGUCCUCUGCCUAAGCAGUGCUCAGUGAGGUUCCCCAACAACAUAAGCCAUUCUCAGUUUGAGUUUCUAGAAAACUUGGAGGUCCUGAGUGACUCUGGGGUGUGAUGGGGUGGACGAUAGGUUAAAGGGAUCACAGGGUUU